rnacentral:tRNA from 1 species
GGAGGGGUGCAGGAGUGGACGAUCUGGCGAUACUGGAAAUAUCGUAGACGAUGAAAAUCGUCUCGUGGGUUCGAAUCCCACCUCCUCCGCCA